GGGCCUGUGGUCUAGCGGCUAACUUCUAAAGAUAAAAAGUCCGCAAAUGACGUCACCCUUACAAGGUGAAGGUCCCCGGUUCAAAUCCGGGCAGGCCCA
rnacentral:tRNA from 1 species